rnacentral:rRNA from 1 species
CGGCGGACGGGUGAGUAACGCGUGGGUAACCUGCCUCAUACAGGGGGAUAACAGUCAGAAAUGACUGCUAAUACCGCAUAAGACCACGGUACCGCAUGGUACAGUGGUAAAAACUCCGGUGGUAUGAAAUGGACCCGCGUCUGAUUAGGUAGUUGGUGGGGUAACGGCCUACCAAGCCGACGAUCAGUAGCCGACCUGAGAGGGUGACCGGCCACAUUGGGACUGAGACACGGCCCAG